rnacentral:tRNA from 2 species
GUUCCCGUGGCACAACUGGAUAGCGCGGCUCCCUCCUAAGGAGCAGGUUACAGGUUCGACCCCUGUCGGGAACGCCA